GGAAGCAAGUGCCUUAUUAGCCACUAUGCCUCAGAUCCCUGGGUGGACUAGGUAUCCUAAUAACAGCACCUACUUCCUAGGAUUAGAGAGAACAUCUAUAAAGUGCUUGGGAUGUCACAUAGUCAGGGCUCAGUCAGUGUCAACUGUUAUUAUUCAGCAUGGCCGUGUUGGGUCCUCUUUGACAAGCCUGACACUCCUCAUUUCCCAACAACUCGGCUACCUUAAACAGACCCCAAGUUCCCGCAGGGCUGAGAAGCAGCUACUCUUAGAUUUUCCUGGUCACCCAACUGGAGAGGUUUCCAGACUCUCAGGAGCUUCUUGCCUCUCUAGCCUCAUCAGAACACCAAAUUCUCAGCAUUGCAAGGUCCUGUAACAUUUUACACUUAAGUUGAUGGGCAAUCCUCCCAAAGCUGACACCCAUAUCCUGUGGGUAACAGAUGAUGAAAGGUGAGCUCAGCCUGUCUCUUGGCUCAAGUGGAAGACCCUGAGGGCAAAGCAACCCCUGAUGGGAACAGAAACCACCCUCUCAAGUAACUAGACUGCCCUGAGCCACAAGUCACAGCCAGUGAUUGACUCUGAGACAAUGAUUGAUUUGACCUUCACUGCCCACCUGCAAGUAUCCACCCACCUUUGCCUCAGGUUUUCCUUAUAUAAACCUGGAAUUAUUUUUGGCACUUUGGAGAUAGUCUUUGAAACUCUAAUCCACUGUCUUCCCGGUGUUGGCCAGAUGGUAAUAAAUCCUUGUUUUACCUUCA